rnacentral:rRNA from 1 species
UGGGGAAUAUUGCACAAUGGGCGAAAGCCUGAUGCAGCAACGCCGCGUGAGUGAUGAAGGCCUUCGGGUUGUAAAGCUCUGUCUUUUGGGACGAUAAUGACGGUACCAAAGGAGGAAGCCACGGCUAACUACGUGCCAGCAGCCGCGGUAAUACGUAGGUGGCAAGCGUUGUCCGGAUUUACUGGGCGUAAAGGAUGCGUAGGCGGAUUUUUAAGUGAGAUGUGAAAUACCCGGGCUUAACUUGGGUGCCGCAUUUCAAACUGGGAAUCUAGAGUGCGGGAGAGGAGAAUGGAAUUCCUAGUGUAGCGGUGAAAUGCGUAGAGAUUAGGAAGAACACCAGUGGCGAAGGCGAUUCUCUGGACCGUAACUGACGCUGAGGCAUGAAAGCGUGGGUAGCAAACAGGAUUAGAUACCCUGGUAGUCCACGCCGUAAACGAUGAGUACUAGGUGUAGGAGGUAUCGACCCCUUCUGUGCCGCAGUUAACACAAUAAGUACUCCGCCUGGGAAGUACGAUCGCAAGAUUAAAACUCAAAUGAAUUGACGGGGUC